CCUACGGGAGGCUGCAGUGAGGAAUAUUGGUCAAUGGGCGGAAGCCUGAACCAGCCAAGUAGCGUGCAGGAUGACGGCCCUACGGGUUGUAAACUGCUUUUAUACGGGAAUAACGCGCCUUACGUGUAGGGCUUUGCAUGUACCGUAUGAAUAAGGACCGGCUAAUUCCGUGCCAGCAGCCGCGGUAAUACGGUAGGUCCGGGUGUUAUCCGGAUUGAUUGGGUUUAAAGGGAGCGUAGGCCGCAUGUCAAGCGUGCUGUGAAAGGUCCGGGCUCAACCCGGGCCUUGCAGCGCGAACUGGCGUGCUGGAGUCCGCGGAAAGCAGGCGGAAUUCGUCGUGUAGCGGUGAAAUGCUUAGAUAUGACGAAGAACCCCGAUUGCGAAGGCAGCUUGCUGCAGCGGAACUGACGCUGAUGCUCGAAAGCGCGGGUAUCGAACAGGAUUAGAUACCCGAGUAGUC
rnacentral:rRNA from 1 species